UUUCAGUGCUUUCCAUUUGCUUCAGCUAUACAAGGUCUCUUUAUGAAAUUAAUUCAUAUGAUUUUAUCUCCUCUUAUGGGUUGCCUAGGCAGAGCCGAAGCUCUUUCACAAGAAAUUCAUCGACCAAGAGCAUGUUUGGAUUGGUUUAUUUUAGGUGCUUUUAAGCCAAAAUAGUUUUUAAGCACUUUUGUAGUGUUGAGUAAAAGAAAAGUUCUUUUAAGCACUUAUUUUAAGCCAAAACAAUAAAAAUAAGCUAAAAGUCAUAAGCUAGAGUUCCUAACUUGUGCCUUUUGGCUAAUAAGUCAAAAGCCAUAAGACCAUCCAAACGGGCUCCUAAUUGAUUUUUCAACAGUAAAGGAAAAUGAUACGAGGCCCUUUGUGUGGCUGAGAAUUGGAAACAUUAACAUUUUGUUUGCUUUCUACUUGAAAUCAUUGUAUUGUUUUAGUUAUGUUGGUUCAUUAGUUUGAAUGGUGACUGCUUGUUCAUGCUUGGUGUUUUCCAAGACCUUUACACUUUUCUUCAGCUCGUUGUUCUUUAUCAUUCUGAGGUUUCCGUGGCACCUUUAAUUUGUGAAACUUAUGAUGAUAGACUUAUCCAGUAUAGAGGAAGUGGUCCACGUGCACUUACUAUCUCGAGAUAUGUUUUUGUGUCUAGAAAGUUAGACUGUGCAUCAUAUAGUUUAAACUCUAGAUCGUAGUUUGUCUUGCUAUGAGUUAUUCUUGUUAUGUUUCCUUUUCCAACAGAUUUGGUAAAUAUGCCUACCUGGUUCAUCCCAAAUAAUAGUUAUAAUCCAAUGUGCAAGAUUAAUAUAUAUAUAUAUAUAGAUAUAUAUAUUUCAUUCUCCCAAAUACUUUUUAGUUGACUUUGAGUUAUUGGUUCGAUUUUUACGUAAUACUCUUAGUAGUAUUAAAAGUUUGCUUAUUGUUUAAGACUGCUAGGAGUAUUAUGUAACAAAAGCACCUAAAUCAAAUGUGACCCUUCCUUGGAAUCCGCGUGGACGCAUCGUGCACUGGUUUGUGCUUCUUCUAAUCUUAAAAGUUUGCUAAUUAAAUUAGCUAAAUACAGAUCUUCCGUUCCUUAAUUCUUAUUGCUUUUUCGCGGAGACUUGUAGAGGUAUUUUAGAAUGGCUACUAUGGUGGUGGAUUCUCAAAAAGGAACUGUCAAACAUGUCGAAUCUAUUCCCUCUUUAUUCGAAAUUGAGGAUUCUGAUGAAAGAUAUCUUUACUCUAAAUUUUUCUAGAUUGCUGGGACAACCAAAUGCUGUUAAUAUUGAAAGGAAAAGAUCACUUGUGAUAGACCUUUCAGUUCAAUAAUUCAUUUUCCACCACACAAUCAUAUGUUGAGCCAAAUCCCAUUAUUGGCAAAGCACGGGAAGCCUUGACGCGCUCUAUUGUUCAAUUCCUUCGGCAAGCUAUGGGGACUGUUGCUAUAGAUAAUUCUACCGAUGAACUUAACUAUGAUCGGUUAAAAUGCUUAUUAUUUUCUCCCACUGCAAUGUCAUUUGUCAAUUGAAUUUUUUGAGAUUGGCCGAUAAUGUUGAAGAUAUAAUUAAGUUAAUAAAUGUUUACAUUUUCUAAUAGCUUAAGUUGUUAGAUGAUUCUAUAAUAGAAACUGAACCUGCAUGAGUAAAUGCUCGUAAUAAAACAUAUUCCAUUCUUCAAGUUUCCUACUCAUGUUACAAUCAAUAUGAGAAAUAACUAGAUUAUAAAAUCUUUUCUUGCUGCCUGGAUUUAUUUGUCUUUGCUGAUUCUACAUGCUUCCAUUCAUUGUUUUUUCAUAUAACUACAUCCAGGAUUCUUAAUGAACCUUGCAAGUCGGACUACAAACCUUUGUGAGAGAUUUUGUGCCAAGUGCACUACUUUGACAUUCUUGAUGAAUGGUGAACCUGAAAUAGUCAAGAAUUUUCUUAUGAAAACCUUACACCUCCAAUUAUGGUAGAAGCAGAUUGACCAGUUCAAGUUAGGGGUAGUACAAUAUGGAGUCCACUGAUCUCAUCAUCUUGCAAAAGUUUGGCGAGCCUCUAUCAGAAUGUUGAUUGAUUGUUUCAUUAACAAAGUCUUGGCGACCCUCUAUCAGAAUGUUGACUGAUUGCUUCAUUAACUCAUGUUCUAAAGACUUGAAUAUACAAGUGAAGAUGCAUAUUUGAAGACUUCAUACAAGUUAACAAGUUGAUUAUCCUUUUGGUAGAACUGUAGGCAAGAUGUUACCUUAUUAUCCAACGAUGUUAUUUUUUGCUAUGGAAGUUUAUUUUUCUAAGGGGUUGUGUAAACAUCACAGUGACUUAUACAAUGUUGCCAUCGAUGCGUUAAUUCAUUUUUUGUAAUUGAUGAUAUAUAUAAAAUUUCAAUGUCAUUGAUAAUUUUGUUGAUA